rnacentral:lncRNA from 1 species
UGUAUGCUAAAAACUGCAAAACACUGAUGAAAGAAAUUAAACAUGUCUAUAUAAAAUGAAGAAAUAUAUCAUGUUCACAUAUUUAAUAACUUGAUAUUAUUAACAUGAAAAUUUUUCUCAAAUUGAUGUAUAGAUUUAAUAUGAACCCAAUCAAAAUCCCCAAGGGAAAAUUUUGAAAAAGAACAAAGUUAGAGGAUGCAUACUAUGUGACUUUACAAUCUACUAUAAAGGUGUAGUUAUCAAGACUAAACUUAUAGUAUCAGAAUAAACCCACACAAAUAUGCCCAACUGAUUUUUAUAAAGAUACAAAGGCAACUUGUUGAAAGAAUAGGCUUUUCAACAAAUGUUACUAGAAUAAUUAGACACUUGUAUUCAAAAAGCUACUCAACCUAUACUCACACCUAUUACUGUAAUUAAAUUAGAAUAGAUCAUAGGUAUAAAAGCAAAAAAAUGUAAAACUGUUAAAACUUUUUAAAUAAAUCCGAAAAAAAAAAACCUUUUGACCUUGGGUUAGGCAAAGAAUUCUUAGCCACAAUACCAUAAGCACAACCAAUAAAAGACAGAAAAAAAAGAUCAUUUGGACUUGCUCAUAAUUAAAAUUGUUUGAGGCCGGGCGCGGUGGCUCAAGCCUGUAAUCCCAGCACUUUGGGAGGCCGAGACGGGCGGAUCACGAGGUCAGGAGAUCGAGACCAUCCUGGCUAACACGGUGAAACCCCGUCUCUAUUAAGAAAUACAAAAAACUAGCCAGGCGAGGUGGCGGGCGCCUGUAGUCCCAGCUACUCGGGAGGCUGAGGCCGGAGAAUGGCGUGAACCCGGGAGGCGGAGCUUGCAGUGAGCUGAGAUCCGGCCACUGCACUCCAGCCUGGGCGACAGGGCGAGACUCCGGAGCGAGACUCCGUCUCAAAAAAAAAAAAAAAAAAAAAAGGUUUUCAUGGCUCUUUGUGCCAUGAUUUAGAAUUUGACCUUGAUUCAGUCCAAAUCACAUUCUAAGAAAAUCUGAUUUAGGUUAAGUAUUAUGUGGGUAUUAUGUUAGUACAUUUGGGAAUGGCAGAGAAGAUAUGGAUAUAUACAACAAGUCGUAUAGAGGAUAAGAGAGGUGGGUAAAAUUAACUUACCUAUUUAAACGUUCCAGAAAAUUUUAAAAACUGAGCUGUCAGAGAAAAAAAAGCAAAGAACCCACAUAUUGCGACUCAGCAUAAUUUUGCUUAGAAAAUAGCAUUAUUU